GCAGUCGCUAAAUUCACCGAAGGUUGUUUACUGGUUAUAUUGUGAUAGCGACUAAAGAAUAAAGACAUAAAAAAGCGUGUUCGUCUUUCUAUUCGACUAAAAGCUAUAAUAGUUACUUAUUACGACAAUAUUAUGAACUAUCUGAGCUAGAUAAGGUGAAGAAUGCAAAAACAUGCCCUUUUACAGGGUUAAGUGUAACAUCAAACACAUUUGGCACGUGCAACAACAUUUUUUUUAAGAAACGAAAUCCCAAUUAUUUUCUUUUUCGAUGAUCAUAUUAUUGUCGUUUUAUAUUCAGGCAACAUUGAAUAAAAAUGUUUAACCGUUUUAUAAACAGUGAUUAAGCAACCCUGCGUGCUUUGAAGGCGUGUGUACCAAUAAUUUCAUCCCUAGCAUAUUCAUCCCCGAGGAAGGCAGUCGCUAAAUUCACCGAAGGUUGUUUACUGGUUAUAUUGUGAUAGCGACUAAAGAAUAAAGACAUAAAAAAGCGUGUUCGUCUUUCUAUUCGACUAAAAGCUAUAAUAGUUACUUAUUACGACAAUAUUAUGAACUAUCUGAGCUAGAUAAGGUGAAGAAUGCAAAAACAUGCCCUUUUACAGGGUUAAGUGUAACAUCAAACACAUUUGGCACGUGCAACAACAUUUUUUUUAAGAAACGAAAUCCCAAUUAUUUUCUUUUUCGAUGAUCAUAUUAUUGUCGUUUUAUAUUCAGGCAACAUUGAAUAAAAAUGUUUAACCGUUUUAUAAACAGUGA